UGAAAUUAGUAGGAAAAAAAGGAAGGAUUAGGGAGGUGGAGGUCUAUGAUUCUUUGGAGUCAGUUCUUUUUAGAAUAAUAACUUAUAGAAUAUAUGAUAUAUUGUUUACAACAUGAAUUUCUAAAGUUUAGAACAUGAAAUAACAAGUUUUAGAACCUGAAAUGAGAGUUUUUAUAACAUGAAAUUCAACCUAAACAAAACCGAUCUUCAAAAUGUUUGACAAAGAAUUCGCUAAACUUGGUAAGAGCCUCUACUGAAUUCAUGUAACUUUGUUGGUUUAUAUAUGAAGAACUUUGUUGAGUUUUAUCUUGAAUUUGGUGGACUUUAUUUGACGAGAGAGAAUGGAUAUUCUUGAGUAGUGAAAUUGGUCAUCUUAAUAAAAGAGAACAAACAUGAAUUCAUUCAAAAUAAAUUGAAUCUUUUAUGAAUAAUGUAAUUGCACUUGCGAAGAACUUGAACUUGGAGCUUCAACUAAAUCUACUUGAGUAAAGAAAAUAGGUAUUCUUGAGGAGAGAGAAGUACUCUUCUCUAAAAGAGAGAAACAAAAUAAAUUGGUAAUUAAUGAACACGAGCUGAAUAGAUAGAGUUUCAUAAGACUUAAUGAAGAAUUUAGUAAAAUUUGUGACGAACUUGGUUGAAUUUGAGUUUGAAACUUUAAUGGAGAUUUUUUAGAAGAAUACGUAAUUUUGAACAUAUCACUUUAUUUGUAAAACAUAGGAAAUGUUCUCACAUAAAAAAGUAUUCUCACAUAAAGGAGGUAUUCUCACAAGAGCCUAUAUAUAUAUAUAUAUAUAUAUAUGUAACUCUCUUUUUUGUCGGACGAUCUGUCAUCUUCGAUCUGAUCUAAUGUAGAAGGAAAGCGGCUACUUUAGUCGUACGUAUCCUUUCUGGACGAAGCUCCUUUGUUGAAGGAACGCGUCUGAAUUUCGCUGCUCUUCUAGAUCUUCACUUGUAACUUUUUGGACGCAGAUCUUUCGUAGAGGGAAGGUGGUUGCAUUGUACUUGGUCGGUUUCCUUCAGUGAAUAAACCUCAUCCAUAAUCUAGUAGCCUAGCUUAUCAUUUUCUAGACGAGGGUCAAUCUUAGAAGAAAGACAACUAGACUUAGCUGGCCUUCUUCAAUGGAUUAUCACCGACCAGAAUUUGAAAGGAUGCACCCCUCAUCUAGUAUCAUAAGAAUGCCCCCAACUUCUAAGACAUUAGCUGGGAAAUCAACGACGUCCACAAAGAGACCUUCUUCUACAAUCGGGGAUCCUCCCCUGUCCCACAAACCCAAAGGAUUUGUUGCCAACAAGAAGACGAAAUGAAUGACCUCAUCCGUUUCGAAAGCUACUCCCGUAAAUCAGAGGACUAGAGACGAGUCUCGUCCACCUGCGGUGGACAAACUUCUGAUGGUGGUUGAUUUCUCGUCCACUAUCUCUCAUCUUUUGGGAGAGGAAGGGCAUAUCACCUCCUUCCUCCACGUGAAUUAGUCGGACGUGGUAGAUUGUACUAAGAACCAGACACAAGGGGCUACAACUACAAAGGUCUAGCUGGACGCGGGUGACAAGGAAGGUUGGCUUUUGAUGGGUUGGUUUUAUGGCUGGUGGCUCAAAUUCCCCCGGUUUAUUGAUCUGCAUCCUUUAUCUUCUGAUAAGAGAAAAGGACCCUCAACAGAGCGUGCUGCUUUGACUGUAGACUAUGACGAUGAGUCCUCCCAAGCCUUUGCCAAAAAUGUUCAGGGCUGAGAGGGACAACUCAAGCAAAAUAUCUUCAAAUGUUACCUUGAGUCCUAAAUUAAGGGCUAAGGGGGGAUUCGUCGGGGCAUCUUGACUAUAUGUCCCAACUUGCUACGAAGCAUGAUUACUAAAGACUGGGCUAGGGAGCUAAGGAAAUAAAAUAAACAGUUCGUCCACAAGCUACAAUGUUCGGGGAUAAGACCAUUCAUAAUUGCGAGAUGCUGAGAACUCUCCAUCGUCAAUUGUAGGAGUCUUGGGAGAGUCGUCUGGCCACUAUGGAGUCCAGCAAUAAACAAUACCUCAUCAGAUCAAUGAGUUGAUCAAGGAGAACGACAAGCUAAAGCUGCCUCUGGACAUUGCGUCAGACAAUUUUAAGGGGGAGAGAAACACACACAACAAGAAUUCGCGUCUUUGCUGACGAAUUUCAACAACAGCCGAAAUAUCCGUUGGUAAAUUCACAAUUACCGACGGAUAAAAUUACCUGUAGAAAUAAGCUUUUACCGACGAUUUUUCAAGACCCGUCGCUAAUUAGCGACGGUUUAUUAAGAUUAGCGACUGUUUCUCAAAACCCGUCGCUAAUUAGCGACGGUUUCUCAACGCUUUUUGUUGCUGCCGAGCUCGGAUUCGAAACCUCAAGCUAAGUGAGGAUAACUCUCGUCUAAGGGCAGAAGUAGUCAAAUCGUUCUCUAAUGCCAUAGAGGCCUUGAUCAACGUCGUCGAAAACUCCAAAGUUGGGCUCUAAAAGCUUUCGAAAUGAUGGCCGAGCAGUUUGCUGCUUUGAGCGUCGCCUGCUUUUUCAGCAGAACUUGCACAUGGCCCACAUAGCUGGUCUGAAUUCCCAAGCUAUAGCGAUUCUGACAAAGUAGAGGAAGAUUAUGAGGAGAAUCCUAAGAGCUAGGUGGACGACCAAGAAGUCCAUGAGGACCCAGCAAACGGUGAAGAUACACACCCAACUGCAUAGAAUAACUAGCUUUAAGCUAUUAUUGUUAUUGUAUGUUGGUUAGCCAUGCUUAGUCUAUCUUCACUUUGCCUUUUGUUUUUUAGACUAGUUUUUUAACUUUGCCUUAUUUUAGCAAUGAAU